rnacentral:rRNA from 1 species
ACCUGCUGCCGGAUCAUUACCGAUCAACCUAAAAACUAGGAGAAGGAUCUGGCUGGACCUUUUCCGUGGAAUGAUGAAUUCGUUCUUACAGCCAAUAGUCCAAGAAGGUGCCCUGAUACUGGCACGCUGCUUACUGGUGCUGUGCCCACCGCUUAGCAGGCUUAUUCUUGGGCGAAAAAACGGCUUAGUUGGCUUCUAAGUUUCUCUGAGCAGUUGUUUGCCUACGUCCGUGGCUGCGUUGAGGAGAGACGGUACGUGGUCUUAGUGAUCGCGAGAAUCAAUGAGUACCAGAUAGGGUGCCGCCAACAAAACAACCAUUUUUGAACUUUUUGAGAAACAUAACAUUUCUAGUCUUAUCGGUGGAUCACUCGGUUCAUAGAUCGAUGAAGAACGCAGCCAACUGCGAUAUAUGGUGUGAACUGCAGAUAUUUUGAACACCAAGAAUUCGAAUGCACAUUGCGCCACUGGAUAUUUAUCCUUUGGCACAUCUGGCUCAGGGUCGUAAAUACUAAACGAAAGCUAUUCGUUGUUUAUGACACAUUCAUGGCUACACUAGUUAGGGCGAUACUCCGCUAGAGUCAUGUUUCUGUGAAGAGGGUUUGCCUUCCGGUUGCUUACGGCCCCCUUAUCAUGUCUUGGCUAUUAUAGACGUAUCUGGGGGCUGUAUCACAUCGAUUACACGUGGGCAUCGAACUUCCGACCUGAGCUCAGUUGUGAUUACCCGCUG